AUGCUAAAAAUUGAUCUUGCUAAGGCUUUUGACUGUUUGCAUUGGAGCUUCAUUUUCUCUGCCCUAACUCGUAAAGGACUUCAUGAUCAUUUUAUUAAUUUAAUCCAUGCAUGUAUUUCCACUCCAAUGUUCUUUGUCAUAAUAAAUGGCCAAUCAUAUGCGAGAUUCCGUAGCAGCAGAGGAAUCAGACAAGGUUGUCCCCUCUCACCUUAUCUUUUUGUUCUUGCCAUUAAUGAGCUUUCUAUCUCUAUGCAAGAGGCCAUGAUGUCCAAGCAUUUGACAGGUAUUUCUCUUGGACCAAAAUGCCCCUCAAUUCAUUCUCUCAUGUUCGCUGAUGACUUAUUAGUCUGUGGCCAGGCCACCAUCCAAGAAGCAACUACAAUGAACCAAAUCAUCCAAUCUUUCUGUACAAUCUGGUCAAACUCCAAAUUGGAGCAAAUCUGCUAUUCUAUUUAG
rnacentral:rRNA from 1 species